rnacentral:lncRNA from 1 species
UCCUUUUUUACGUCUUCCUUCUUCUUCGUAUAGCCUCAUGAAGUUUUGACCUACAGAGAGAGCAAGCUUCAAAUGUUUUCUCCCCCUUCACUUUCUGUCUUCUUCGCUUCACCUAACUCAUCUGUUUCUUUCCUCUGCCUCACCUGCAAGAACGAAUGUUGAAACUAAGAUUGAAAAACAUAAAAACAUACAGUUAUUCAACAUUCUUCAACCAUACAGAAUUAUUUCCUCUUCACCUAACUCCUCUGUUUCUUUCCUCUGCCUCUUCACUAAACUCCUCUGUUUCUUUCCUGUUUUGGGUUAAUACAUUGGAUUCGUGGAAUUCCACUUCACCGG